UACGUAGGGUGCGAGCGUUAAUCGGAAUUACUGGGCGUAAAGCGUGCGCAGGCGGUUUUGUAAGCCAGAUGUGAAAUCCCCGGGCUUAACCUGGGAAUGGCAUUUGGGACUGCAAGGCUGGAGUGCGGCAGAGGAGACUGGAAUUCCUGGUGUAGCAGUGAAAUGCGUAGAUAUUGGGAAGAACAUCGGUGGCGAAAGCGCCUUGCUGGGUCUGCACUGACACUGAGGGACGAAAGCUAGGGGAGCGAAAGGG
rnacentral:rRNA from 1 species